AAAUAUCUGAGAAGUUCGUGAUGUGUUGAAUUAUAUUUUGACCUAACACCAAUUUAAAAGGGAGUCUAAUAGGUUUUCCUUCGAAAAACAUGCCUGCACGCCAGGACGUUUGGAGUUGGAAACAGGACACCCACCUGCAAAUAGCAGGCCAAAAUAAUCAGCUAAGACACACGGCUUGGCUUGGAUAUUUC
rnacentral:other from 1 species